AUCCCAUGGUGAGGGCAUCUUCUCAAGAGGUCCUUGUAUCUCUCCCAUGCAUCAUAGAGUGUUUCUAAAUCCAUCUG
rfam:Gossypium arboreum cultivar AKA8401 contig_48317_5, whole genome shotgun sequence.